AACGAACGCUGGCGGCAUGCCUAACACAUGCAAGUCGAGCGCCCGUAGCAAUACGGGAGCGGCGCACGGGUGAGUAACGCGUGGGAACCUGCCCAGAGGUUCGGGACAACCGCGGGAAACUGCGGCUGAUACCGGAUGAUACCUGAGGGUCAAAGAUUUAUCGCCUUUGGAGGGGCCCGCGUCGGAUUAGGUAGUUGGUGGGGUAACGGCCUACCAAGCCUAUGAUCCGUAACUGGUCUGAGAGGAUGACCAGUCACACUGGGACUGAGACACGGCCCAGACUCCUACGGGAGGCAGCAGUGGGGAGUAUUGGACAAUGGGGGCAACCCUGAUCCAGCAAUGCCGCGUGGGUGAUGAAGGCC
rnacentral:rRNA from 1 species